rnacentral:rRNA from 1 species
UGGGGAAUAUUGGGCAAUGGGCGCAAGCCUGACCCAGCAACGCCGCGUGAAGGAAGAAGGCUUUCGGGUUGUAAACUUCUUUUGUCAGGGAAGAGGAGAAGACUGUACCUGGCGAAUAAGCCACGGCUAACUACGUGCCAGCAGCCGCGGUAAUACGUAGGGGGCGAGCGUUGUCCGGAAUUACUGGGCGUAAAGGGUGAGUAGGCGGUUUUUAAGUUGGAUGUGAAAUACCCGGGCUUAACUUGGGGGGUGCAUUCAAAACUGGAGAACUAGAGUACAGGAGAGGAAAGCGGAAUUCCUAGUGUAGCGGUGAAAUGCGUAGAUAUUAGGAGGAACACCAGUGGCGAAGGCGGCUUACUGGACUGUAACUGACGUUGAGGCUCGAAAGCGUGGGGA